GAUGAACGCUGGCGGCGUGCCUAAUACAUGCAAGUCGAGCGAACAGACGAUGAUCUUGCUCCUCUGACGUUAGCGGCGGACGUGUGAGUAACACGUGUAUAACCUACCUAUAAGACUGGUAUAACUUCGGGACACCGGAUCUAACACCGUAUAAUAUAUUGAACCGCAUUGUUCAAUAGUGAGAUACGGUUUUUCUGUCACUUAUAGCUGGAUCCGCGCCGCAUUAGCUAGUUGUUAAGGUAACGGCUUACCAAGGCGACGAUGCGUAGCCGAACUGAGAGGGUGAUAGGCCACACUGGAACUGGAACACGGUCCAGACGACUACGGGAGGCAGCAGUAGGGAAUCUUACGCAAUGGGGGAAAGCAUGACGGAGCAACGCCGAGUGAGUGAUGAAGGUCUUCGGAGCGUAAAACUCGGUUAUUAGGGAAGAACAAAUGUGUAAGUAAAUAUGCACGUCUUGACGGUAACUAAUAAGAAAGCAACGGCUAACUACGUG
rnacentral:rRNA from 1 species